rnacentral:rRNA from 1 species
GAUGAACGCUGGCGGCGUGCCUAAUACAUGCAAGUCGAGCGAACGGACGAGAAGCUUGCUUCUCUGAUGUUAGCGGCGGACGGGUGAGUAACACGUGGAUAACCUACCUAUAAGACUGGGAUAACUUCGGGAAACCGGAGCUAAUACCGGAUAAUAUUUUGAACCGCAUGGUUCAAAAGUGAAAGACGGUCUUGCUGUCACUUAUAGAUGGAUCCGCGCUGCAUUAGCUAGUUGGUAAGGUAACGGCUUACCAAGGCAACGAUGCAUAGCCGACCUGAGAGGGUGAUCGGCCACACUGGAACUGAGACACGGUCCAGACUCCUACGGGAGGCAGCAGUAGGGAAUCUUCCGCAAUGGGCGAAAGCCUGACGGAGCAACGCCGCGUGAGUGAUGAAGGUCUUCGGAUCGUAAAACUCUGUUAUUAGGGAAGAACAUAUGUGUAAGUAACUGUGCACAUCUUGACGGUACCUAAUCAGAAAGCCACGGCUAACUACGUGCCAGCAGCCGCGGUAAUACGUAGGUGGCAAGCGUUAUCCGGAAUUAUUGGGCGUAAAGCGCGCGUAGGCGGUUUUUUAAGUCUGAUGUGAAAGCCCACGGCUCAACCGUGGAGGGCCAUUGGAAACUGGAAAACUUGAGUGCAGAAGAGGAAAGUGGAAUUCCAUGUGUAGCGGUGAAAUGCGCAGAGAUAUGGAGGAACACCAGUGGCGAAGGCGACUUUCUGGUCUGUAACUGACGCUGAUGUGCGAAAGCGUGGGGAUCAAACAGGAUUAGAUACCCUGGUAGUCCACGCCGUAAACGAUGAGUGCUAAGUGUUAGGGGGUUUCCGCCCCUCAGUGCUGCAGCUAACGCAUUAAGCACUCCGCCUGGGGAGUACGACCGCAAGGUUGAAACUCAAAGGAAUUGACGGGGACCCGCGCAAGCGGUGGAGCAUGUGGUUUAAUUCGAAGCAACGCGAAGAACCUUACCAAAUCUUGACAUCCUUUGACAACUCUAGAGAUAGAGCCUUCCCCUUCGGGGGACAAAGUGACAGGUGGUGCAUGGUUGUCGUCAGCUCGUGUCGUGAGAUGUUGGGUUAAGUCCCGCAACGAGCGCAACCCUUAAGCUUAGUUGCCAUCAUUAAGUUGGGCACUCUAAGUUGACUGCCGGUGACAAACCGGAGGAAGGUGGGGAUGACGUCAAAUCAUCAUGCCCCUUAUGAUUUGGGCUACACACGUGCUACAAUGGACAAUACAAAGGGCAGCGAAACCGCGAGGUCAAGCAAAUCCCAUAAAGUUGUUCUCAGUUCGGAUUGUAGUCUGCAACUCGACUACAUGAAGCUGGAAUCGCUAGUAAUCGUAGAUCAGCAUGCUACGGUGAAUACGUUCCCGGGUCU